AUUCCAGCUCCAAUAGCGUAUAUUUAAGUUGUUGCAGUUAAAAAGCUCGUAGUUGGAUUUCGGGUGGGCUGCGCCGGUCUCCUAACGGUUGUACUGGCGACGCCUGCCUUGCUGCCGGGGACGGGCUCCUGCCUUUACUGUCGGGACCCGGAAUCGGCGACGUUACUUUGAGUAAAUUAGAGUGUUCAAAGCAAGCCUACGCUCUGAAUAUAAUAGCAUGGGAUAACACGACAGGACUCUGGCCUAUCGUGUUGGUCUGUGGGACCAGGGUAAUGAUUAAGAGGGACAGUCGGGGGCAUUCGUAUUCCGUUGUCAGAGGUGAAAUUCUUGGAUUUACGGAAGACGAACAUCUGCGAAAGCAUUUGCCAAGGAUGUUUUCAUUA
rnacentral:rRNA from 1 species